CGUCAGAGAGGGAGGAGAGGUAAAACCAGUGAUUGAUUGGUUAUUGAUGGCAGACUGGGAUAAUAAUUCAGACAGAGCUCAUACCAUCAGGUUAAGAGCAAGCAGGGGCUGACGGUGUACAGCUCUCAGGGACUGUAGCUGCUUGUGUUUUCUCUUUGAUUUACCCAUUUUCUUCAGCAUUUGACACUCCAGGCCAAUCAGCUUGCCAGCCACCGGGAAUUCUCCUGUUCCCCCGAUGGCCAGUCUGAUGGGCUAUUUGUUCCAUUCUUCCAGUCAUGCCAAUAUCUCCCCUGUUCUUUCUCUCUCUGGGAGAAUCACAGAGGAAUGAAGACAGAAUAAUGGAUCCAGCCUGGUCUGAUGACAUGCAGUAUAUUGCCCUUCUGACCUGAUGUUUCUUUCAGCACCCCCUCAAGUACACAUACCUGCCUGGCCCCUUCCCUUUACCAACUUCAAAGUUCCUCCACCAUCCUUAUCCAUGGCUUCCUAUCAUCCUAUUGCCUAAUCUUAGAAAAACAAUGCACAGAGCGCAGCUGAAGAUAAACUCAGUGUUCAAUGUAUGCCUUAAUUUCAGAUUUUGCUAUGACCUCAUGCUGUACAUUUCCAAGCAAUUACUGUAUGCUUCUUAAAAGCGCUAGUGUUGACAGUUUAGUCUGUGCACAGGAUAAGCUUAUCUAUUUUUCUACACUAACUUUAGGUGCGUACGUUAUACUACUUACUGUGUGAUGUUCUGUUUCAUUUCAGCCAACUUCAAGCCAACAAACAUUUCUUCUACACUCUCCUUGUGUGUCAACACUAAGAUAUCAGUGAUUAAAUGAUUACACCUAAUCGUGGAAAGAAUCUUCAGACAAGCUAUGUGUUUAUGUAAUUCCCCGAAAGGUGUUUUAGGGCUUUUGGUAAAGGAGAGACAGCAAGGAGGGUAGGGGCAGGAGGGAGUUCUUCCAGCAGGCAGGUGGAACUGAAGACGCUGGAGUGAAACUGAGCGUGGGGUGACACUUAAUGGCAUGGAGUCAGGACAAUCAUGAAGCCCAAGCUCUGGCGCCUUUUGUUCCCUGUCAACUCCCUACAUCAUCGGAUCAUUUUCCAUGGAAAUAUAAUACAUAAAUCAACCCUAAUCCCUGCUCUGUUCCACUAACCAACUCACAGAAGACACACAAAGACUGCAUUCUAAAUAUAUCUCCUUCUUUACACCCUUGUUCACAUCCAUUCAGUAUUAUAUAGUCCCAUUAAAAGUUAAUCAAGACCUUGGGUUUUACUUAGACAUGACGCUUUGCCUCAGGAUGUGCUCAGUCUUGAGAAAAUGUCUCAAAAUUAACAACAAAUGACAUGGUUUAUAUUUAGAACUAUGGAAUUACUCCGGCUAAUUGCCUGGAUGAUGGCUAACAUAUGACCUUAUGAGCCGGACUGGGUUGUUUAUGCCCUAUAUGAACCCUAUUGUACU